CCUACGGGCGGCUGCAGUGGGGAAUAUUGCACAAUGGGCGCAAGCCUGAUGCAGCCAUGCCGCGUGUGUGAAGAAGGCCUUCGGGUUGUAAAGCACUUUCAGCGGGGAGGAAGGCGUUAAGGUUAAUAACCUUGUCGAUUGACGUUACCCGCAGAAGAAGCACCGGCUAACUCCGUGCCAGCAGCCGCGGUAAUACGGAGGGUGCAAGCGUUAAUCGGAAUUACUGGGCGUAAAGCGCACGCAGGCGGUCUGUCAAGUCGGAUGUGAAAUCCCCGGGCUCAACCUGGGAACUGCAUUCGAAACUGGCAGGCUAGAGUCUUGUAGAGGGGGGUAGAAUUCCAGGUGUAGCGGUGAAAUGCGUAGAGAUCUGGAGGAAUACCGGUGGCGAAGGCGGCCCCCUGGACAAAGACUGACGCUCAGGUGCGAAAGCGUGGGGAGCAAACAGGAUUAGAUACCCCAGUAGUC
rnacentral:rRNA from 1 species